rnacentral:tRNA from 1 species
GGGCGGUUACCGAAGUGGACAAACGGGGCUGACUGUAAAUCAGCUGGCAUACGCCUACGGAGGUUCAAAUCCUUCACCGCCCA